GCUCUGACCCUCAGGCAACUUUAUUUAUUAACAUACAAAUAAAAUCACAUUUCAGUACAAUUAAAAUAUCACCAUACAGGCAUACCAGAACACCACCAGCAGAGCCCAGCCAUCGUGCCAACUUGCAGGAUUCUGAGCUGCAGAAGAUGUGGGUGUGCAACACCAUUACAAAGCUGACGCUGAUGUGACCGCUUCAGGAUAGAAUUCUCAUCAUGACUACCAAAGGAGAUUUCACUGAAGAGCCACACUGCCAUCCUCCUGGGGCUGAGACUACAACAUACUGGUGUUUCCUUGGCCUGGAGGCCUCAGAGUCCCAAAGCUGGUCUACAGAAAGGACAGAAAACAAAAUGAUGAAGGAACAGAAAGAAAUGUGAGGCUGGUAGACUUGAGAAAUGGAGGAAGGCUUGUCUUUGAAAAGAACAGAGUCAGCCAUAGAUGCAAGAGUGGAAACCAACCUGAGAGUUCUCACCACAAGACAAGGGCUGUGGUGUUCCCUUCCUCCCUAGUGCCGACAUCAAACCAAUCACCAUGGUUCCCAUUUGGAACUUUCGUGAGACAGAUGCUCUCCACAAGAGCCUACCUUGUCAGCAGAGCCUGCCCACUGGCCCUUCCACCUCUUCCACCAAGUUGUGACCUAGAUGCCCUCACCAGAAGCAGAGCAGAUCGCAACACCACACUCUUGGACACCCCAGCUUCCAGAAGAAAGAGCCGAACAAACCAUUCUUCUCUGUAAGUCACCCAGUCUCGGGCAUUCUGUUACAGCAACGGAAAACAGCAAAAACACCAUCUCUCCCUGACAGGGUUCAGUUCAGGAGCACCGUCCACCAUAUAUCCUCGCCGGCCACCCCGAGGCUGGAGUCAGAGGCUCUUGCCAUGUCUGCUGCUUGCAUUCCUCGUCAGUAGAGGCACCCUGAGCUGUAGAUGUCCCCUGGCAUCGGGACUCUGUCACGGUCACAGAGCAGGCCCGCAGUGAAGGUGCACUAGGGGAAGAAAUGUGAACAAGAGUGGAAGAGCUGUCUUACAAAAGCUGUGCAGCCAAGCUGGCCUGGCUGGCUGCUCUGGGUCUCUUCCACCACUUGGGUCUACAGGAUUCAGCAGUGCCAAGGUGAUGCCAAGCAGGGCUCCUGCUCAUGGAGGAGCUGAAUUCCUCAAAGGUCAUGCAGCAACAAGAUCGCAUCAAAAACUCCAGCAGAAUCCUCCUUUUGCCCCUUCUCCAGAGGGCGGGGCUCCAUCUCUAUGACGGGUCAGGAAAAUACGUGGACAGAGCAGGAAGGACAGACACUGAGGGUUUCUGUUUCUCUAGGCUGCUGUGGGCUCUGGCCACAUGAAUUAUUCACCAGGGAGUCCGCUGGAGCAACAAGCAGAGGCCUCACAGCUCAGAUCCUGCCUGGAGAUCCCCAGAGAGAAGCUGGCAGGGGGUCAGGAGUGUUCCAGGCUGCAGCUACUGCCAGGUCCCUAUGGAGCCUACACUGAAACAGGUCUUGAAGGUUUCCCCCGCGAGCUGCGACUCCAGGGACAAAUGAAGCCACGACAAUAAAAAGCAGGACCGAGCGCCCCACUCCUCCACGCCAAGCAUAGCCCUGGGCCUUCAUUUGCUUCCUUGCUUCUCACCAGAACCCUGUGGAUUAUGAUUUCUCAUUCCCGUUUUACAGCUGAGGAAAAUGGGAGUCUGGGGCCCAGCCCCAGGCCAUGUCCAUAAAGCACAGAGGAGAGAGGGAUUUGAGCGCAAUUCUAUAGGAUGCCAUGGCACCCAGUAGUGCUACCUGGGAUUUUAAUUGCAGAGAGAGAGAGAGAGAGAGAGAGAGAGAGAGAGAGAGAGAGAGAGAUUGAGAUUAUUUAUUACGGGCACAGAUUUGAGUCCCAGAGGCACCCACUAGGGCUUCUGAGUUCACAUGUCACAUUGCAAAUGGUUGCACCAGGGACAUGCAGUUCAAAAUAGAAAUAGAGCUAGUUCAUUAAGAAAGGGAAUAUACCCCCCGAAGAAUGGCAAGAUCUGGAGCUGAGGGAAAAGCCCACGGAAGCCCUGGGCCAUAGUCUGUGAUGCUCUACAGUGUGUUGACA